AGAUCGGAGGCUAAAUUCCUCCCUAGCGCC
rnacentral:tRNA from 1 species